rnacentral:rRNA from 1 species
CGCGUAGGCGGUAAUGUAAGUCAGACGUGAAAUCCUUCGGCUCAACUGAAGAACUGCGUCUGAAACUGCAUGACUAGAGUGCAGAAGAGGGAAACGGAAUUCCAGGUGUAGAGGUGAAAUUCGUAGAUAUCUGGAGGAACACCGGUGGCGAAGGCGGUUUCCUGGUCUGACACUGACGCUGAGGCGCGAAAGCGUGGGGAGCAAACAGGAUUAGAUACCCUGGUAGUCCACGCUGUAAACGGUGGGUACUGGGUGUGGGAGGUGUAAUGCCUUCUGUGCCGAAGCUAACGCGUUAAGUACCCCGCCUGGGGAGUACGGCCGCAAGGUUGAA